AUGCCUGUAACAGGACUUGUCACAAGGAAUCCCUGCACAUAUGCCUAUGACAAGGACUAUGCCAGGAACUCCUCAAAUAUGCAGGAUUUGAGGUCAUCAAGGAGUGAUUUUCCCUUGGAAGCUCCAAGCAAAAUGUCAACUCCAGCAUUCCACACGGCUCUGGGCGCUGCUCUCCUUUUCCUCUGCAAAGAUGCUGACCUGCUAGUGGUGAAUGCUCUUGGGGUUUUGUUUGUAGGUUUUUUUCUUGUCCCAAAUGUCUAUAUUUCAACUUCACUCUUAAAGGAUAUUUUUCAUGGGAUCUAGGCUUUUCUUUUGGAUUCCAAUGUGGCUUUGAAAAAAGUCUGUUGACUAUUUAUGGCUUCUUUAAAGGCGAUCUCUUUCUUCCUAUGACUGUUUUGAAAGUUUUCCUGGCUGGAUGGGGUGGCUCAUGCCUGUAAUCCCAGCACUUUGGGAGGCUGAGGCGGGCAGAUCAUGAGGUCAGGAGUUCGAGAUCAGCCUGGCCAACACAGUGAAACCUUGUCUCUACUAAAAAUACAAAAAUUAGCUGAGCAUGGUGGCACGCACCUAUAAUCCCAGCUACUUAGGAGGCUGAGGAAGGAGAAUUGCUUGAACCCAGGAGGCAGAGGUUGUGGUGAGCAGAGAUCACACCACUGCACUCCAGCGUGGGCAACAGAGCGAGCCUCCGUCCCAAAAAAAAUAAAAUGUUUUCCUUCCCUCCCUCCUUCCCCA
rnacentral:lncRNA from 13 species